UAACACAUGCAAGUCGAACGAUAUAGUGGCAGACGGGUGAGUAACGCGUGGGAACGUACCUUUCACUACGGAAUAGCUCUUGGAAACGAGUGGUAAUACCGUAUACGCCCUUCGGGGGAAAGAUUUAUCGGUGAAAGAUCGGCCCGCGUUAGAUUAGCUAGUUGGUAGGGUAAUGGCCUACCAAGGCGACGAUCUAUAGCUGGUCUGAGAGGAUGAUCAGCCACACUGGGACUGAGACACGGCCCAGACUCCUACGGGAGGCAGCAGUGGGGAAUCUUGCACAAUGGGCGAAAGCCUGAUGCAGCCAUGCCGCGUGAAUGAUGAAGGCCUUAGGGUUGUAAAAUUCUUUCGCUAGGGAUGAUAAUGACAGUACCUAGUAAAGAAGCCCCGGCUAACUUCGUGCCAGCAGCCGCGGUAAUACGAAGGGGGCUAGCGUUGUUCGGAAUUACUGGGCGUAAAGCGCACGUAGGCGGACUUUUAAGUCAGAUGUGAAAUCCCGGGGCUCAACCUCGGAACUGCAUUUGAAACUGGAAGUCUAGAGACCAGGAGAGGUUAGCGGAAUACCGAGUGUAGAGGUGAAAUUCGUAGAUAUUCGGUGGAACACCAGUGGCGAAGGCGGCUAACUGGACUGGUACUGACGCUGAGGUGCGAAAGUGUGGGGAGCAAACAGGAUUAGAUACCCUGGUAGUCCACACCGUAAACGAUGAGAGCUAGUUGUUGGCAGGCAUGCCUGUCGGUGACGCAGCUAACGCAUUAAGCUCUCCGCCUGGGGAGUACGGUCGCAAGAUUAAAACUCAAAGAAAUUGACGGGGGCCCGCACAAGCGGUGGAGCAUGUGGUUUAAAUCGAAGCGACGCGCAGAACCUUACCUACCCUUGACAUACCGAUCGCGGUUUCCAGAGAUGGAUUCCUUCAGUUAGGCUGGAUCGGAUACAGGUGCUGCAUGGCUGUCGUCAGCUCGUGUCGUGAGAUGUUGGGUUAAGUCCCGCAACGAGCGCAACCCUCAUCCUUAGUUGCCAUCACGUUUGGGUGGGCACUCUAAGGAAACUGCCGGUGGUAAGCCGGAGGAAGGUGGGGAUGACGUCAAGUCCUCAUGGCCCUUACGGGUAGGGCUACACACGUGCUACAAUGGCAGUGACAAUGGGUUAAUCCCCAAAAACUGUCUCAGUUCGGAUUGUCGUCUGCAACUCGACGGCAUGAAGGUGGAAUCGCUAGUAAUCGUGGAUCAGCAUGCCACGGUGAAUACGUUCCCGGGCCUUGUACACACCGCCCGUCACAUCAUGGGAAUUGGUUCUACCCGAAGACGCUGUGCUAACUUCGGAGGCAGGCGGCCACGGUAGGAUUAGUGACUGGGAUG
rnacentral:rRNA from 1 species